UUCAUGUCACCUAUUUAAACCGAAG
rnacentral:piRNA from 1 species